CAGGGCCGUAACUGAGCACAGCCGGGUGAAACAUUCGUGUUGGGCCCCCAAAUUUUUAACGAGUAAUAUGUAUAGAUUUUGAGGCCCCCAAACAGUAAAAAAAAAUUUAUAUAUAGAUUAUGAGACCCCCAAACCGUAAUUGUUUGUGGCCCCAUAACUCGUAGGGCCGGCCCUACCAAUAACAUUCAAAUUCUCUAUUAUUCGACAAUUGAACCGAAGGCUUCAUAUCCAGCUUCUCGAUUUUCCGGAGAAGAAGACGUGAUGGAAGAGAAACCACUCGGAAAGGGCCUCGAUUCUGGCAUUUACAAGGUAUAGAAAACGUAGGUUCUAAUUUCAAUUGUUACAUAUGGUUUCUAGGGUUUUUAGUUGUCACAUCCAUGGGACGGUAUACAUUUUUUUGUUCGAUUCUUUUUUCUAAUUCUCACUUUUAGUGGUUUUGGACUGUCUUGGUUUCUGAUUGGCCAUAUCUUCAUUUCUCCUUAGGCUUUUGUGGUCGCUUCUAAAACCGAAAGGAGCAGAUUGGAUGUGAGCUUUUUGGAAUGUGAUGAUAUAUCGUGGAUAUCUGGUUCUGAAACUUGAGAAGAGUUUCAGACG
rnacentral:lncRNA from 1 species